AGGCUUUCCAAAUGUACAUCCUUCUCGCAACAGCCCGCGCAAGGCUGAAUCGACACUCUCUUAUGUGUGCAGACCAUCUCUCGUUACCGUGUGCAACACCAUCAGUGAGAAAUGUAUCGCCAACAGCACGCACACGCAUGAGCGAAAAAUGUAUUGAAACAGCCGCUGCUUCGGCUGCUUGCCUGACAGUUGCAUACUCGAGUCGUAUCGAGCCGAGUGGGAAACGUCGUGAGUAUUGUUGGCCG